rnacentral:rRNA from 1 species
UACAGAGGUCCCAAGCGUUGUUCGGAUUCAUUGGGCGUAAAGGGUGCGUAGGCGGCGCGGUAAGUCGGGUGUGAAAUCUCGGGCUUAACUCCGAAACUGCAUUCGAUACUGCCGUGCUUGAGGACUGGAGAGGAGACUGGAAUUUACGGUGUAGCGGUGAAAUGCGUAGAUAUCGUAAGGAAGACCAGUGGCGAAGGCGGGUCUCUGGACAGUUCCUGACGCUGAGGCACGAAGGUCAGGGGAGCAAACGGG